AUUAAAAUUUUUAAAUCUUAUUCUGUCUCAAACUUAAUUAUUAGUAUUUGUCAGUAGAAUCAGUAUUUAUCGAAUCAUGAAAUUUAUUAUCAAAGGCGAAGUUAUUAACCUGUAUCAAUUUCGGGAAGAGGGGGUAUGGCUGUAAUUAAAUUUCCAAAAUGAAUAGUUUUGCUUAAUUCCGAAAUACAAGUACAUGUACUGUCCUUUUCAUCCUUUCAAUUUAUUAGACUUUUAUUAUUGAAAUAUUGUAAAAAACUAAAAUUGGUUUCUUAAAAGAUGCAUGUCUCUUACAUAACACUAUAAACCCAUGCAUGUUUCAAUUAGUGCAAGUAUUAAUUUAUCUAUAACUUGUGUUAUUCUGUACUUUGACGUGCUACAAUUUAUACAUGUUUGUACGCUUUGGGCAAUGUUUAUGUUUUUGCGCCUGCGCAAUGCAACGUUGUCAAGGACUUAGUCCUGUGACUAAGCGUAUCUUUUACGACUAGACUUACGCCACUUGGUGAAACGCAAAUUACGCCCGACUAAAUUUUGGCGUAAUCCCCGGAAGUACGCCUAAGUUAAGGCUUAACUUUACGACUUUUGAUGAAACGGGCCCCUGACUUUUUUCACGAUGAACUUUUUUUCAAUGUUACUUUUUAAUUUUUGCCUCUAUAUUUGGGCUUGUCACUUUUUACUCGGGGAUAGUAACUUUAUUGCCACAAAGCUGUGGAUUAGUACUUGAUUUCCUUUAUUGCACAGCGAUGACUAUGAUUUAAUAGCACAAAAAGCUAAUGGGUUUACGUAUGUGAAUUUAUAUGAUUAAUGCUUACUUGUGAUUUUAGGAUAACUGGAGAUAAUGAUUCCUUUUUUCCAUUGAUAUUACAUAAAUAUUUUCCUAAGUAUUAUGUUACAAUAAAUUGGUUUAGAUUUUUUUUUAUAAAAGUAAUCAAUAAUUACAAUGGAAAUUAAAACCAUAAUCAUGUUCAUUGAGGAUUUUCAAUAUGUAACAGGUCAAACAGGAACUUCAAUUGUGAACAUUGCAGAGAACACACCCAUCAGAAGAUGACCCUCAGAAAUAGGACAAUUAAUGAAUAAAAUGGACAGAGGCAGAACUGAAGGAGAUGCAUGAAAUGAGGAAUAUUUCAAAGAUUGCCUGAGCAUAACCACUGCUACUGGAUAAACAUAUGGCAAUAUAAAAGAGCAGGGUCAAUGGAGGUAUCAUACAGUAUAGGCCAUGAGAGACCCUGAAGAAGAAAGUAUUGAACAGAAACAAAAAUAAAACCAUUUUGACAUUUAUUGAAAUAUAGGAUCAAAGUCUUACAUGUAAAAUUUGGGCAUGUAAUGACUUUUCUCUAGCUCUAAGACUUAUAACAGUGAUGAUUUGAUUUAAUAUCUUUAUCCCGAUUUGUCGAAAAGAUUUGGACAUAGUGCAUCAAUUAUUUUAAAGUUUUGAUACAACGAAUUCAUUCAUUGUACUUGUAACUGAGUUUUCUGGUGCGACACUGUUUUAUCGGCUUCAAAACUAAGUUUGUGAUUUCCAAACCAGAUUAAUGAGAUCAUGUAAUAUCUUUUAACAUCGGUGACUAUUUAAUCCAUUCUUUUACAUCUCAGAAGUAUUUUUAUUAUUACAGGGAAAAAUGUGUUGUACAUGUAUCUGUAAUAAACAGGAUUAUAGAAAUUUUCCAUAUAAUACAACACAAUCUUAGCAACUGAAGGCAAAUAUUUUAUCAAGGGUGUGAUCUAUUUAUCAAUAUGGUUUUCAGCAUCUUGCUCUACCUGUAAUGACUUGCUCCAAGUUCCAAUAUUUAAAUUUAAAUUUUGCAAACAUGGUUAUAAAAUUCUUUAAAAGCCAAAUAGUUUAGGCACAAAAUGCUUAUAUAUUUCCUAUCAUUUGUAAAGUGUACACUGAAUGAGAUGUGGAAUGUUAGAAUUAAAGUAUUAAAUAUG